AUUGAACGCUGGCGGCAGGCCUAACACAUGCAAGUCGAACGAGUGGCGGACGGGUGAGUAAUGUCUGGGAAACUGCCCGAUGGAGGGGGAUAACUACUGGAAACGGUAGCUAAUACCGCAUACCAUCGGAUGUGCCCAGAUGGGAUUAGCUAGUAGGUGGGGUAACGGCUCACCUAGGCGACGAUCCCUAGCUGGGCUGAGAGGAUGACCGGCCAAACUGGAACUGAGAGACGGUCCAGACUCCUACGGUAGGCAGCAGUGGGGAAGAUGGCACAAUGGGAGCAAGCCUGAUGCAGCCAUGCAGCGUGUAUGAAGGAGGCCUUCGGGUUGUAAAGUACUUUCAGCGAUGAGGCGUUACUCGCAGAAGAAGCGCCGGCUAACUCCGUGCCAGCAGCCGCGGUAAUAC
rnacentral:rRNA from 1 species